AGUGAACGCUGGCGGUAGGCCUAACACAUGCAAGUCGAACGGCAGCACAGUAAGAGCUUGCUCUUACUGGUGGCGAGUGGCGGACGGGUGAGGAAUACAUCGGAAUCUACUUUUUCGUGGGGGCUAACGUAGGGAAACUUACGCUAAUACCGCAUACGACCUACGGGUGAAAGCAGGGGAUCUUCGGACCUUUCACGAUUUAAUGACCCGAUGUCGGAUUAGCUAGUUGGCGGGGUAAAGGCCCACCAAGGCGACGAUCCGUAGCUGGUCUGAGAGGAUGAUCAGCCACACUGGAACUGAGACACGGUCCAGACUCCUACGGGAGGCAGCAGUGGGGAAUAUUGGACAAUGGGCGCAAGCCUGAUCCAGCCAUACCGCGUGGGUGAAGAAGGCCUUCGGGUUGUAAAGCCCUUUUGUUGGGAAAGAAAAGCAGCAGGUUAAUACCCCGCUGUUCUGACGGUACCCAAAGAAUAAGCACCGGCUAACUUCGUG
rnacentral:rRNA from 1 species